CACCCUUCUUUCAACUUUUGCCACUCAAAAUCCCCCUUCUUUUUCCUAAAAUUUUUCUAAAAUUUUUCUUAUAUUUACCACAUUCUUUUUCUCUAAUUUUAAAUAAAAAUCUUAGUAGAAAACCAUUUGACCAAGGGACGUCACAUGGGAUGAAGGGGCACCAACCUUUAGUGCUCCAACUUCCCAUGUGCCAAAUAAAUUCAUCGAGUGAAUUUUUAAUAUUCUUGAUACUUACAGUAGAAGGGAUCUUCCUUCUCUAUGUGUCAUAAAAAAUUCAAUUAAUUUUGGCAUCAAAAUAUAGG
rnacentral:lncRNA from 1 species